AUAAGUGGCGAGGCACCACGCGAGCAGGGAUGAGCAGCCCCGGAGGUUGUGGGCACAGCUCAAUUGGCUCAUUCCUCAAUGCUUCUCGAAAAUGAUGUCACGAACGAAAACAAUGUCGCACUCGAAAGGAGAAAACCGAGGACAGCAGAUUUUGCAGACACCUGGUUUUUAGAAAUCUUGGGAGUCCGAACAAACAGCUCUAAGAAGGCGUUGUUGCUCUCCGUGAGGAGGCAACGCAAAUGAUUCACAAUCUCCUCAGCGGAAAAAACCCUGGUGAAGAUUUCGGCAAGUCGAGUAUGUUCAAGGUACUUCGUCUCGAGCCUGGUCAAGGAGGAGUUGCUCAGUGAACUACUAGUUUGACUUCCCUGAGAAGACACCACUGACAUCACCUACAGUGCCGAGGUACAGGCUUAAUGGCAGAUAUGAAUAGAAGUUGAUGGUAAGCUGUCCUAUUUAUUUAGCAGUAUUGGAGUAACUCACUUGACCUUUCAUCACUGUUUUCGUUGGCAGUUUGUUGCCUGCACACAAAAAUUGUCCAUUAAUUGUCCAUGUCCAUUAAA